AGCAAAAAGAUGUGGUUCUCACUUGUUUUGCUUCUGGUCGCUGGAAAAUUUGAGAUACCUGAAGGUAAGCCUGAUUUACGUACGCGGGACUCAAUAUAUCUCAAACUGAAAUUAAAAUUAUAUUAACUCAAGUAAAAUUUUCAAAGAAAGAGUCGAGAAAACUUGUGAAUUAAUCAUUGCUGUACAUAAGUCAAAACGAUAUGUAUGGCGUAUAGGACUUCUUGGCUACUUCUCAAUGUUUUCAUCCAAUUCGAUGUAUUACACUGACUGUACAAGGUGUAUAAAAAACAAAGUACAUCUUUUAUGCUAUAAAUAUUUUAGGAAUACUACUCCUUAUAAAUUAAAUUAUUUCAGUAUUAUUUUAAAGCUUGACUGUUCAUUAUUUCGAACAAGGGGUCAUCCGUGUCUAAAGUAUAGGUAAUAUAGAAUGAUUUUAUUACUACAUUACACUAUUAUUCAGCUAAAUCACCAACGGAUUCACUGUUCACUACCUGAAACUAAUAAAAUGAGAUUCCAUUUCUAUAUAUAAACGCAAACCUGUAUUACACUCUAAAAAAAUGUGUGUUAAUAUAUGAAACACUUUACAUGUCAUAUCGAGUUUAUCAUGUCGAUUCCUUGUAAAUUAUUUUAUUAUUACAGCAACGACGGCAGAGCAAAACUUUGGCAAAGUAAACAUCACUGAAGAUUCAUCAGAUGGUUUUUAUUGCGAAACUGUUCCUUUUCCUACUCCGUUUCAAAAUGGGACAAUCAGGGUUUUUCCUUCUUUGAGUCAUGAAGAUCAUCCUGGAAAUGGAAACGAGGCUUCAGUUGCAGUAGUAACGUCAGUUGAUCAAAAUUCUUUCUCCAUCUGUCUUAUGGAACCUGCUCAGCCAACAGGAGAAAUGACGCUCAAUUGGUUCGCAUUCAGUGAUGGUAUCCUACCGCGGGGUAUUGGGACUGGAAGUGUUCCCUACAGUGUUUUCACGAGUGGAAGUUCUUGUAGCAACAUCAGCUUUUCACGC